rnacentral:sRNA from 1 species
ACUCUCUGUAAUCUAUGCCCACUAUUGC